GAGUGAAGAAGGGUUUCGGCUCGUAAAACUCUGUUGUUAGAGAAGAACAGCCGUGAGAGCAACUGCUCACGGUAUGACGGUAUCUAACCAGAAAGUCACGGCUAACUACGUGCCAGCAGCCGCGGUAAUACGUAGGUGGCAAACGUUGUCCGGAUUUAUUGGGCGUAAAGGGAGCGCAGGCGGUUUAUUAAGUCUGAUGUGAAAGCCUUCGGCUUAACCGGAGAAGUGCAUCGGAAACUGAUAAACUUGAGUGCAGAAAAGGAUAGUGGAACUUCAUGUGUAGCGGUGAAAUGCGUAGAUAUAUGAAGGAACACCAGUGGCGAAGGCGGCUAUCUGGUCUGUAACUGACGCUGAGGCUCGAAAGCAUGGGUAGCAAACAGGAUUAGAUACCCUGGUAGUCCAUGCCGUAAACGAUGAAUGCUAGGUGUUGGAAGGUUUCCGCCUUUCAGUGCCGCAGCUAACGCAUUAAGCAUUCCGCCUGGGGAGUACGACCGCAAGGUUGAAACUCAAAGGAAUUGACGGGGACCCGCACAAGCGGUGGAGCAUGUGGUUUAAUUCGAUGCUACGCGAAGAACCUUACCAGGACUUGACAUCUUCUGCCAAUCUAAGAGAUUAGACGUUCCCUUCGGGGACAGAAUGACAGGUGGUGCAUGGUUGUCGUCAGCUCGUGUCGUGAGAUGUUGGGUUAAGUCCCGCAACGAGCGCAACCCUUGUCUUUAGUUGCCAGCAUUAAGUUGGGCACUCUAGAGAGACUGCCGGUGAUAAACCGGAGGAAGGUGGGGAUGACGUCAAAUCAUCAUGCCCCUUAUGUCCUGGGCUACACACGUGCUACAAUGGGCGAUACAACGAGUUGCGAAACCGCGAGGUCAAGCUAAUCUCUUAAAGUC
rnacentral:rRNA from 2 species